CGCGGCCUAUCAGCUUGUUGGUGGGGUAACGGCCUACCAAGGCGAUUACGGGUAGCCGGCCUGAGAGGGCGACCGGCCACACUGGGACUGAGACACGGCCCAGACUCCUGCGGGAGGCAGCAGUGGGGAAUAUUGCGCAAUGGGCGAAAGCCUGACGCAGCGACGCCGCGUGGGGGAUGACGGCCUUCGGGUUGUAAACCUCUUUUACCACCAACGCAGGCUCGAAGUUCUCUUCGGGUUGACGGUAGGUGGGGAAUAAGGACCGGCUAACUACGUGCCAGCAGCCGCGGUAAUACGUAGGGUCCGAGCGUUGUCCGGAAUUAUUGGGCGUAAAGAGCUCGUAGGCGGCGUGUCGCGUCUGCUGUGAAAGACCGGGGCUUAACUCCGGUUCUGCAGUGGAUACGGGCAUGCUAGAGGUAGGUAGGGGAGACUGGAAUUCCUGGUGUAGCGGUGAAAUGCGCAGAUAUCAGGAGGAACACCGGUGGCGAAGGCGGGUCUCUGGGCCUUACCUGACGCUGAGGAGCGAAAGCAUGGGGAGCGAACAGGAUUAGAUACCCUGGUAGUCCAUGCCGUAAACGUUGGGCGCUAGGUGUGGGGACUUUCCACGGUUUCCGCGCCGUAGCUAACGCAUUAAGCGCCCCGCCUGGGGAGUACGG
rnacentral:rRNA from 1 species